GUUUUACACACCACAUCUUAUUGUAUAAUUUGGAGUUGGCGUGCAUUGUUCAUCCAUUGCUAUCCAGUGAAAGGGUAAAUUUGAAGUUUGACAUAUAAGCUAACUAUCUUAAGAUGAAAGUUUUUGUGAUGGUGGUAAUUUUAGCGUUGUUUGUAACAUGUCUAUGUACGACAAGAAGAAAUUGGAGGGUUUAUUUAAGGAAGAGACCGCGAAUACCUGUUUCAAAAUACACCGAACUGCACAGACAUCGGGUCCAACAGGAUACACUAAAUGAAUUUGUAAAACAACUGAUUUAUUGGAAGGAUUUAGACUAAAGCAUAAAAAUUUGAUUUUGUCAAGACACAAGCCUGUGAACUAAUGGUCGAUACAGGUUUCGUAAGAUAUAAUAAAUGGUUAAAAUUCUCCUAGUAUGUAAUUUAAAAAGAAUUGAAAUGAUUGUUAUGUAUCAAUUCUAAUAAAUAUUAUGUACCCAAUUUAUUAACUAUUCGGUACCAAUUCUAAUAACUAUUAUGUACCAAAUUUAAUAACUAUUCAGUACCAAUUCUAUUAACUAUUAUGGUCCAAAUUUAAUGACUAUUACAUACCAAUUCUAAUGACUAUUACGUUCGAAUUCUAAUGACUAUUAUGAACCAAUUCUAAUAACUAGUGUGUACAUAUUUUAAUAAGUAUUAUGUACCAAAUCUAAUGAUUAUUAUGUUCCAAUUCUAAUAACCAUUAUGUACCAAAUCUAAGGACUAAUAUGUACCAAAUCUAAGGACUAAUAUGUACCAAUUCUAAUAACUAUUGUGUACCAAAUCUAAUGAUUAUUAUGUACCAAUUCUGAUAACCAUUAUGUACCAAAUCUAAUGAUUAUUAUGCACCAAUUCUAAUAACUAUUCUGUACCAAAUCUAAUGAUUAUUACGUACCAAUUCUGAUAACCAUUAUGUACCAAAUCUAUUGAUUAUUAUGAUUGUAUCAAUUCUAAUAACUAUUAUACAGCAAUUCUAAUAACUAUUAUGUACCAAUUCUAAUUACUAUAAUGAUUAAUAUGUACCAAUUUUAUUAUUACUAUUACAUACCAAUGACUGUAUGUAUUCAAUCUGAUGUACCAAAUCUAAUGCCCUUUAUGUACCAACUAUAAUGACCAUUAUGUACCAAAAAUGUGUAUGUAAAUAAACAGAAUAUUACAAACAUUUAAUUUCUUAUUUCUUAUACGUUUUAUUAUUUUGAUUAAAG